CAUUACCUAGAGUUGUGGGCUUUGCCUGCUAUCUCUUACCCAUGUCUUUUGAGUACUUACGUUUCCUCGGUGGGUUCGCCCGCCGAUUGGACAAUUUAAACCCUUUGCAGUUGCAAUCAGCGUCUGAAAAACAUAAUAGUUACAACUUUCAACAACGGAUCUCUUGGUUCUGGCAUCGAUGAAGAACGCAGCGAAAUGCGAUAAGUAGUGUGAAUUGCAGAAUUCAGUGAAUCAUCGAAUCUUUGAACGCACAUUGCGCCCCUUGGUAUUCCAUGGGGCAUGCCUGUUCGAGCGUCAUUUGUACCUUCAAGCUUUGCUUGGUGUUGGGUGUUUGUCUCGCCUUUGCGUGUAGACUCGCCUUAAAACAAUUGGCAGCCGGCGUAUUGAUUUCGGAGCGCAGUACAUCUCGCGCUUUGCACUCAUAACGACGACGUCCAAAAGUACUUUUUUACACUCUUGACCUCGGAUCAGGUAGGGAUACCCGCUGAACUUAAGCAUAUCAAUAA
rnacentral:rRNA from 1 species